rnacentral:rRNA from 1 species
GAUCCUGGCUCAGGAUGAACGCUAGCGGCAGGCUUAAUACAUGCAAGUCAAGGGGGUAGCAAUACAACCGGCGCACGGGUGAGUAACGCGUACACAACAUACCAUAUACUGGAGUAUAGCUUUGGGAAACUGAAGGUAAUCCUCCAUAACAUUGCGAGAGGGCAUCUGAUUGCAAUUAAAGUUCCGGCGGUAUAUGAUUGGUGUGCGUUUGAUUAGCUAGUUGGUAGGGUAACGGCCUACCAAGGCGACGAUCAAUAGCUGGCGUGAGAGCGCGACCAGCCACACUGGAACUGAGACACGGUCCAGACUCCUACGGGAGGCAGCAGUAGGGAAUAUUGGACAAUGGGCGAAAGCCUGAUCCAGCCAUGCCGCGUGAUAGAUGAAGGCCCUCUGGGUUGUAAAUAUCUUUUAUCUGGGAAGAAACUCCUCUAUUCUUAGAGGCCUGACGGUACCAGAGGAAUAAGCCCCGGCUAACUCUGUG